AAAGCUUUCAAACUGGGAUUAGAUACCCCACUAUGCCUAGCCGUAAAACAUUUAAUCACAUCAUUAACCGCCAGGGAAUUACGAGCCCAAGCUUAAAACCCAAAGGACUUGACGGUGCCCCACCCACCUAGAGGAGCCUGUUCUAUAAUCGAUUCUCCCCGAUAUACCUCACCACUUCUAGCCUACUCAGCCUGUAUACCUCCGUCGUAAGCUUACCAUAUGAACGUUGAAUUAGUGAGCAAAAAGAUCAAUCAUCAAUACGUCAGGUCAAGGUGCAGCUCACGAAGCGGGAAGCAAUGGGCUACAGUUUCUAACUUAGAACAAACGAAAGACUACAUGAAACAUAGUCACGAAGGCGGAUUUAGUAGUAAAAAGAAAAUAGAGAGUUCUUUUUAAUUAGGCGCUGGGACGCGUACACACCGCCCGUCACCCUCUUCAAACACACCCACUAUGUUAAUAACACUAGACUAUACAAUAGAAGAGGUAAGUCGUAACACGGUAAGCGUACUGGAAAGUGCGCUUGGAUUA
rnacentral:rRNA from 1 species